rfam:Ornithorhynchus anatinus chromosome X1, whole genome shotgun sequence.
AUCCUCUGAGUGUCACACCUGGAGGGUUUCCAGUACUCUACCAGUCUGAUUAUGGGAGGGAGAGUCAAGCAGAGGCAUAUCCAUUCCAUUCCUAGCUUGGGCAGUGUCUAGUGAGUGGAACACAGUCUGCUACUAGU